UACGUAGGGCGCGAGCGUUGUCCGGAUUUACUGGGCGUAAAGGGCGCGUAGGCGGCCACCGCAAGUCGACUGUGAAAUCUCCGGGCUUAACCCGGAAAGGUCAGCCGAUACUGCGGGGCUAGAGUGCAGAAGGGGCAACUGGAAUUCUCGGUGUAGCGGUGAAAUGCGUAGAUAUCGAGAGGAACACCCGUGGCGAAGGCGGCCAACUGGGCCGGACCUGACGCUGAGGCGCGAAGGCGUGGGGAGCGAACGGG
rnacentral:rRNA from 1 species